GACGAACGCUGGCGGCGUGCUUAACACAUGCAAGUCGAACGGAGCGAAUGAAAGCUUGCUUUUAUAAGCUUAGUGGCAAACGGGUGAGUAACACGUAGACAACCUGCCGACAGGAUGGGGACAACAUUCCGAAAGGAAUGCUAAUACCGAAUGAAGUGCAGGGGAGGCAUCUCCCCUGCAUGAAAGAUGGCCUCUAUAUAUAAGCUAUCACCUGUUGAUGGGUCUGCGUCUGAUUAGCUGGUAGGUGAGGUAACGGCACACCUAGGCGACGAUCAGUAGCCGGUCUGAGAGGAUGAACGGCCACAUUGGGACUGAGACACGGCCCAGACUCCUACGGGAGGCAGCAGUGGGGAAUCUUCCGCAAUGGGCGCAAGCCUGACGGAGCAACGCCGCGUGAGUGAAGAAGGUCUUCGGAUCGUAAAGCUCUGUUGAUGGGGACGAACGUGCCUAAUGCGAAUAGUUUUAGGCAAUG
rnacentral:rRNA from 1 species